UGGGGAAUUUUGCGCAAUGGGGGAAACCCUGACGCAGCAACGCCGCGUGGAGGAUGAAAUCCCUUGGGAUGUAAACUCCUUUCGAUCGGGACGAUUAUGACGGUACCGGAAGAAGAAGCCCCGGCUAACUUCGUGCCAGCAGCCGCGGUAAUACGAGGGGGCAAGCGUUGUUCGGAAUUAUUGGGCGUAAAGGGAGCGUAGGCGGUUCUGUAAGUCGUGUGUGAAAUCUUCGGGCUCAACCCGAAGUCUGCACACGAAACUGCAGGGCUUGAGUAUGGGAGAGGUGAGUGGAAUUCCUGGUGUAGCGGUGAAAUGCGUAGAUAUCAGGAGGAACACCUGUGGCGAAAGCGGCUCACUGGACCAUUACUGACGCUGAGGCUCGAAAGCUAGGGGAGCAAA
rnacentral:rRNA from 1 species